rnacentral:rRNA from 1 species
UACGGAGGGUGCAAGCGUUAAUCGGAAUUACUGGGCGUAAAGCGUGCGCAGGCGGUUUGUUAAGUCUGUUGUGAAAUCCCCGAGCUCAACUUGGGAAUUGCAAUGGAUACUGGCAGGCUGGAGUAUGGUAGAGGAAGGUGGAAUUCCCGGUGUAGCAGUGGAAUGCGUAGAGAUCGGGAGGAACACCAGUGGCGAAGGCGGCCUUCUGGACCAAUACUGACGCUCAUGCACGAAAGCGUGGGGAGCAAACAGG